rnacentral:tRNA from 1 species
GUGGUCGUAGCUCAGUUGGUAGAGUCCCGGAUUGUGAUUCCGGCCGUCGUGGGUUCGAGUCCCAUCGACCACCCCA